AAUGAACGCUGGCGGCAGGCCUAACACAUGCAAGUCGAGCGAACGCACGAGAAGCUUUCUCCCCUGAGGGUAGCGACGGACGGACGAGUAAUUAGUGGAUAAGCUACCAAUAAGACUGGGAUAAUAACGGGGAACAAGAGCUACUAAUGGAUAAUAUUUCGAACCGCAUGGAGCAAAAGUGCAAGACGCUCUUGCUGUCACUAAUAGCUGGAUCCGCGCUGGAUUAGUUACUUGGUAAGGUAACGGCUUACCAAGGCUACGAUGCGUAGCCGACCUGAGAGGGUGAUCAGCCACACUGGAACUGAGACACGGUCCAGACUCCUACGGGAGGCAGCAGUGGGGAAUCUUCGGCAAUGGACGAAAGCCUGACGGAGCAACACCGCGUGAGUGAUGAAGGUCUUCGGGUCGUAAAGCUCUGUUGUUCGGAAAGAACAUAAGCGUAUGUAACCGUGCACAUCUUGACGGUACCUAAAGAAAAAGCCACGGCUAACUUCGUG
rnacentral:rRNA from 1 species